rnacentral:rRNA from 1 species
UGGGGAAUAUUGGGCAAUGGGCGAAAGCCUGACCCAGCAACGCCGCGUGAAGGAAGAAGGCUUUCGGGUUGUAAACUUCUUUUACCAGGGACGAAGGACGUGACGGUACCUGGAGAAAAAGCUCCGGCUAACUACGUGCCAGCAGCCGCGGUAAUACGUAGGGAGCAAGCGUUGUCCGGAUUUACUGGGUGUAAAGGGCGUGUAGGCGGAGACGCAAGUCAGGAGUGAAAUCCCCGGGCUCAACCCGGGAACUGCUUUUGAAACUGCGUCCCUUGAGUAUCGGAGAGGCAGGCGGAAUUCCUAGUGUAGCGGUGAAAUGCGUAGAUAUUAGGAGGAACACCAGUGGCGAAGGCGGCCUGCUGGACGACAACUGACGCUGAGGCGCGAAAGCGUGGGGAGCAAACAGG